AUACGUAGGGGGCGAGCGUUGUCCGGAAUGAUUGGGCGUAAAGGGCGCGUAGGCGGCCCGGUAAGUCUGGAGUGAAAGUCCUGUUUUUAAGAUGGGAAUUGCUUUGGAUACUGUCGGGCCUGAGUGCAGGAGAGGUAAGUGGAAUUCCCAGUGUAGCGGUGAAAUGCGUAGAGAUUGGGAGGAACACCAGUGGCGAAGGCGAAUUACUGGACUGUAACUGACGCUGAGGCGCGAAAGGGUGGGGAGCAAACAGGAUUAGAUACCCUGGUAGUCCACACUGUAAACGAUGAAUGCUAGGUGUAGGGGGUAUCGACCCCUUCUGUGCCGCAGGCAACACAAUAAGCAUUCCGCCUGGGGAGUACGGCCGCAAGGUUGAAACUCAAAUGAAUUGACGGGG
rnacentral:rRNA from 1 species